ACGAUAAUGACGGUACCACAGGAGGAAGCCACGACUAACUACGUGCCAGCAGUCGCGGUAAUACGUAGGGGGCGAGCGUUAUCCGGAAUUAUUGGGUGUAAAGGGUGCGUAGGCGGGGUCGUAAAGUCAGAUGUGAAAUGCGGAGGCUCAACCUCCGAACUGCAUUUGAAACUUACGAUCUUGAGUGGAGUAGAGGCAAGCGGAAUUCCUGGUGUAGCGGUGAAAUGCAUAGAUAUCUGGAGGAACACCAGUGGCGAAGGCGGCUUGCUGGGCUUUUACUGACGCUGAGGCUCGAAAGUGUGGGUAGCAAACAGGAUUAGAUACCCUGGUAGUCCACACUGUAAACGAUGAUUACUAGGUGUAUGCGGGCUGAACCGGUCUGUGCCGCA
rnacentral:rRNA from 1 species